rnacentral:rRNA from 1 species
AGGAUGAUCAGCCACACUGGAACUGAGACACGGUCCAGACUCCUACGGGAGGCAGCAGUGGGGAAUAUUGCACAAUGGGCGCAAGCCUGAUGCAGCCAUGCCGCGUGUAUGAAGAAGGCCUUCGGGUUGUAAAGUACUUUCAGCAGUGAGGAAGGCGGAGUCGUUAAUAGCGGCCUCGUUUGACGUUAGCUGCAGAAGAAGCACCGGCUAACUCCGUGCCAGCAGCCGCGGUAAUACGGAGGGUGCGAGCGUUAAUCGGAAUUACUGGGCGUAAAGCGCAUGCAGGUGGUUUGUUAAGUCAGAUGUGAAAGCCCGGGGCUCAACCUCGGAAUUGCAUUUGAAACUGGCAGACUAGAGUACUGUAGAGGGGGGGUAGAAUUUCAGGUGUAGCGGUGAAAUGCGUAGAGAUCUGMAGGNNNAAUACCGGUGGCGAAGGCGGCCCCCUGGACAGAUACUGACACNUCAGAUNCGCGAARGCGUGGGGAGCAAACAGGAUUAGAUACCCUGGUAGUCCACGCCGUAA